rnacentral:rRNA from 1 species
AACGAAACGCUGGCGGCAGGCCUAACACAUGCAAGUUCGAGCGUUCACCUUCGGGCGGAGCGGCGGAACGGGUUAGUAACGCGCGGGAAUAUACCCAGUUUCUCAAGGAAUAGCCACCGGAAAACGGCGAGUAAAUACCUUAUCACGCCCUUCGGGGGAAAGAAUUCAUUCGGAAUUGGACUAGCCCGCGUCUAGAUUAGAUAGUUGGUGGGGUAAAUGGCCUACCAAGUCCUACGAUCUAUAGCUCGGUUUCGAGAGGAUCGAUCAGCAACACUGGGACUGAGACACGGCCCAGAACUCCUACGGGAGGCAGCAGUGGGGAAAUCUUUAGACAAUGGGCGCAAGCCUGAUCUAGCCAUGCCGCGUGAGUCGAUGAAGGCCCUAGGGUCGUAAAGCUCUUUUCAACUGUGAAGAUAAUGACGGUAGCAGUAGAAGAAACCCCGGCUAACUCCGUGCCAGCAGCCGCGGUAAUACGGAGGGGGUUAGCGUUGUUCGGAAUUUACUGGGCGUAAAGCGUACGUAGGCGGAUUAAUAAGUUAGAGGUGAAAUCCCAGGGCUCAACCCUGGAACUGCCUUUAAAACUGUUAGUCUUGAGAUUCGAGAGAGGUGAGUGGAAUUCCAAGUGUAGAGGUGAAAUUCGUAGAUAUUUGGAGGAACACCAGUGGCGAAGGCGGCUCACUGGCUCGAUACUGACGCUGAGGUACGAAAGUGUGGGGAGCAAACAGGAUUAGAUACCCUGGUAGUCCACACCGUAAACGAUGAAUGCCAGACGUCAGCAAGCAUGCUUGUUGGUGUCACACCUAACGGAUUAAGCAUUCCGCCUGGGGAGUACGGUCGCAAGAUUAAAACUCAAAGGAAUUGACGGGGGCCCGCACAAGCGGUGGAGCAUGUGGUUUAAUUCGACGCAACGCGCAGAACCUUACCAACCCUUGACAUACUUGUCGCGGAUUCCAGAGAUGGAUUCCUUCAGUUCGGCUGGACAAUGUACAGGUGCUGCAUGGCUGUCGUCAGCUCGUGUCGUGAGAUGUUCGGUUAAGUCCGGCAACGAGCGCAACCCACGUCCUUAGUUACCAGCAUUUAGUUGGGUACCCUAAGGAGACUGCCGGUGAUAAGCCGGAGGAAGGUGUGGACGACGUCAAGUCAUCAUGGCCCUUACGGGUUGGGCUACACACGUGCUACAAUGGCAUCUACAGUGAGUUAAUCUCCAAAAGAUGUCUCAGUUCGGAUUGGGGUCUGCAACUCGACCCCAUGAAGUUGGAAUCGCUAGUAAUCGCGGAACAGCAUGCCGCGGUGAAUACGUUCCCGGGCCU